AUUCUUACAUAUAUUGAUUAUAAUAUUGUUAUGAGCUGAAAUUUGUUUUUUUGUGUUCAGGUGCAUCAAGCUGCAGUUUGGGGGGGAGGAGACUCAGAAUGAAGCCUGGAGCUGGUUGGCUGCCAAUCAGCUGUCAUCUGUCGUCAAUACCAAAGAGUCCAGUGCUACAGAUGAGGCGUGGCGGCUGCUGGCUUCCUACCUGGACAGGUAUCCGUCCGCUAACGGACAGUACCACCGCUGCGUCAUCAACAAGCUGCUGUCGCACGCUGUCCCACUGCCCGAUUGGCUUGUCAAGUCUUACAAGGCUGUGGACGCAGCGUCUCUGCUGCGUCUCUUCCUGAACUUUGACCUCCUGGACGCUGCCGCCGAGCUGGUGUUAGAGUACGUGGACGCUCUGCUCGGGAGAGGACACCAGUACUUCGGAAUAGAGAGGCCUCUGUCAGCGACGUCGUCCUCCGUCUGGCUGCCGUACACGUCCAUCGAUCAGCUGCUUCAGACUCUGAACGAGACUCAGACCAACAGCAGCAUGUACAAUAAAGUUCGAGACAAAUUGGACGAUUAUCACAAACUGGUGGCGCAGACGACCAAACGAAGACUCGUCACUCGAUAGAAACUCACCUGAC